rnacentral:rRNA from 1 species
GGAAUGACUUCGGUCUGAACUACUUGAGUAAUCCUCCACUGCCGGGAAAAGCCGCUAAACGAGAAUGUUGACUGACCGUACUGUAAACGGACACACGUGAGUGAGGAGAGAAUCCUAAGGCGUUUGAGCGAACUCAGGUUAAGGAACUCGGCAAAUUAGCCCCGUAACUUCGGGAGAAGGGGUGCCCCUGCGUAGGUGAAGCGUCUAGCACGCAUAGCUGAAAGGGGUUGCAGUGAAAAGUCCCAGGCGACUGUUUACCAAAAACACAGGACUCUGCGAAGUCGAAUACGACGUAUAGGGUCUGACGCCUGCCCGGUGCCGGAAGGUCAUGAGGAGGGGUUAGCUUCGGCGAAGCUCUGAAUUUAAGCCCCGGUAAACGGCGGCCGUAACAAUAACGGUCCUAAGGUAGCGAAAUUCCUUGUCGGGUAAGUUCCGACCUGCACGAAUGGCGUAACGAUCUGGGAACUGUCUCAACCUGAGGCUCAGUGAAUUUGUAGUGUCGGUGAAGAUGCCGACUACCCGCAGCAAGACGGAAAGACCCCGUGAACCUUUACUAUAGCUAGAUAUUGAUAUUGGGUAGUGCAUGUGCAGGAUAGGUGGGAGACUUGGAACCAUGGUCGUUAGGCUGUGGGGAGUCACCGGUGAGAUACCACUCUUGUUCUAUCGAAUAUCUAACCGCGGUCCGUAAUCCGGAUCCGGGACAGUUUCUGGUGGGUAGUUUGACUGGGGCGGUCGCCUCCCAAAGUGUAACGGAGGCGCCCAAAGGUUCCCUCAGGUGGUUUGGAAAUCCACCGCAGAGUGUAAAGGCACAAGGGAGCUUGACUGUGAGACCGACAGGUCGAGCAGGGAGGAAACUCGGGCUUAGUGAUCCGGCGAUUCUGAAUGGAAAGGUCGUCGCUCAACGGAUAAAAGGUACUCCGGGGAUAACAGGCUGAUCUUGCCCAAGAGUUCACAUCGACGGCAAGGUUUGGCACCUCGAUGUCGGCUCAUCGCAUCCUGGAGCUGAAGCAGGUUCCAAGGGUUUGGCUGUUCGCCAAUUAAAGCGGUACGCGAGCUGGGUUCAGAACGUCGUGAGACAGUUCGGUCCCUAUCUGCUGUGGGCGUAGGAGAUUUGAGAGAAGCUGUCCUUAGUACGAGAGGACCGGGAUGGACGAAGCUCUUGUGUACCAGUUGUGCCGCCAGGUGCAAUGCUGGGUAGCUACCUUCGGAAGGGNUAACCGGCUGAAAGCAUCUAAG